rnacentral:lncRNA from 1 species
CGUCCUUGCCGCCAAAAAUGCUCACAUAGCAGAGCUGGAAAAGGCGAACACGAAGCUAAAGAGCGAGGCAACAACGUCCGCGGAUCGUCUGAAAGACCUCCAGAAGAAAUACAAAGAUGAUAUCAAGACAAGGGAUGCCCAGAUCAGGAAUGUUCAGGAUACCCUCAAUGAACUCACUGAGUCCUCAACUUCAGCCGCCAACCUCGCCAACUCUACCAUCGCAGGUCUCCAGUCUGAGCUUGAGGGCGAGAAAGCCUCCAAAUCCAAGGAGCUGAGCGACGCAUACCGCCUUGGGUUCUCGGAAUAUCUUAUCAAUUUCUUGGCUGCGGACCCUGACUACGACUGGACGACGUUCUUCGCCCCUUCUACUCCUGCUUUCAUGGUGGGCUUCAAAGAGGCUAAUGCUACCGCCAUUGAGAAGGCGAGGAAGGAUCUUGAGACGAAGAUCCUUUCAGAGAAGGAGGCGUUGGCCAAGAAAGGUGGCGAGACCACACAGGGCGAGGCAGGAGACAAGGGCGACGGUGAGGCCACCACCACUGAGUAGCAGAAGGAAUGAACUUUUUAUUUUGAACAGUCUUAAGUACAUUUGGAGUGCGAGCCCUCCGUAAUUGGCCUUGCCAGUUGUAUUUGAAUUCUAACUCUUUUGCUGUUGUAGUCUUGUGCUUUUAAUUUAUCUUGCUUCGUCGUCUUCGCCAUGUCUUUUUGAUAAUUUUUAUAUCUACUUGCACCUCGAGGGCUCAUCCUUCCCUUGACCACUCAUCUUUAAGAUAGCUGCACAGGGCGAGGAUCCAUCCUCGGGCGAGGCUCUUAGCCUCUUAUUUUUAUUCUUCCUUGUAUGCUCAUAAAUGAAGACGAGGAUUCACCCCUCCCUUGACCACUCAUCAUUAGAAUAGUGUCUGUCGCCUUCAGUGUUUUGGCCGAAGACAACUAUGAUGCUGUGGACGUCAAAGUCUGGUCGUCAAAGAAAGCUGAUGAAGCUGAACAUGGCUUCAAGUUAGGAUUGGGCGAGGCGUUUUUUCAGGGCCUCAACGUCCUUGCCGCCAAAAAUGCUCACAUAGCAGAGCUGGAAAAGGCGAACACGAAGCUAAAGAGCGAGGCAACAACGUCCGCGGAUCGUCUGAAAGACCUCCAGAAGAAAUACAAAGAUGAUAUCAAGACAAGGGAUGCCCAGAUCAGGAAUGUUCAGGAUACCCUCAAUGAACUCACUGAGUCCUCAACUUCAGCCGCCAACCUCGCCAACUCUACCAUCGCAGGUCUCCAGUAUGAGCUUGAGGGCGAGAAAGCCUCCAAAUCCAAGGAGCUGAGCGACGCAUACCGCCUUGGGUUCUCGGAAUAUCUUAUCAAUUUCUUGGCUGCGGACCCUGACUACGACUGGACGACGUUCUUCGCCCCUUCUACUCCUGCUUUCAUGGUGGGCUUCAAAGAGGCUAAUGCUACCGCCAUUGAGAAGGCGAGGAAGGAUCUUGAGGCGAAGAUCCUUUCAGAGAAGGAGGCGUUGGCCAAGAAAGGUGGCGAGACCACACAGGGCGAGGCAGGAGACAAGGGCGACGGUGAGGCCACCACCACUGAGCAGCAGAAGGAAUGAACUUUUUAUUUUGAACAGUCUUAAGUACAUUUGGAGUGCGAGCCCUCCGUAAUUGGCCUUGCCAGUUGUAUUUGAAUUCUAACUCUUUUGCUGUUGUAGUCUUGUGCUUUUAAUUUAUCUUGCUUCGUCGUCUUCGCCAUGUCUUUUUGAUAAUUUUUAUAUCUACUUGCACCUCGAGGGUUCAUCCUUCCCUUGACCACUCAUCUUUAAGAUAGCUGCACAGGGCGAGGAUCCAUCCUCGGGCGAGGCUCUUAGCCUCUUAUUUUUAUUCUUCCUUGUAUGCUCAUAAAUGAAGACGAGGAUUCACCCCUCCCUUG